CCUGAUACUCGGCAAACUCAAUAGCCAUUGUCUUCAAAGUUUUAUCAGCCGGCUGAAGCAACUUGUGAGCCUCCUGCAAUCGGAAAAUAUUCAACUCUUCUGAAUAAGCAACACCAUGGUUUCUUUUUUUGGGGAUAAGCUAGAAAAGUUUUAUUCAUCGCCACACUGCGGAAAAUAUUCAACUCUUCUGAGUAAGCAACACCAUGGUUUCUUUUUUUGGGGGAUAAGCUAGAAAAGUUUUAUUCAUCGCCACAUUGGUGCUGGAUAUGUACACUCGGAUCCACGUUACUCCUGGAGACAUGUGAUGAAAUGUAUCGCUUGUCCAAGUCAUAUAAAUGUACCAUAUUCACCCGAAGGCCAAAAUUGACCUGAAGGAGGAGUUAGAGCCCAUAGAAGAGCAAGCACAGGUGGUGGUAUGCUAUCCCAGCAUGCAUAUGGCGGACUGAAUGGACUAAAAGAAAUAGAAGAUGUUUUGAAGACUCUGCUAACUCAAUCAUAUCAUUUUGUUCUGCACAUGGUGUAGAUUGGACAUGUAGACGAGGUUGAUCAGUGUUACAAAUGUUAGAAGCCCAACAGGAUUAGAAAGGACAUAUUUUGGUUGUUUUGCUUCUGAAGAUAUUG
rnacentral:lncRNA from 1 species